rnacentral:rRNA from 1 species
GAUGAACGCUAGCUACAGGCUUAACACAUGCAAGUCGAGGGGUAACGAGAGGAAAGCUUGCUUUCCUUGUCGACGACCGGCGCACGGGUGAGUAACGCGUAUCCAACCUGCCCCCAACUAAGGAAUAACCUUGCGAAAGUAAGACUAAUACCUUAUAAUUUCCUCAGAUGUCAUCUGACGAGGAAUAAAGAUUUAUCGGUUGUGGAUGGGGAUGCGUCUGAUUAGCUUGUUGGCGGGGUAACGGCCCACCAAGGCAACGAUCAGUAGGGGUUCUGCGAGGAAGGUCCCCCACAUAGGAACUGAGACACGGGCCAAACUCCUACUGGAGGCAGCAGUGAGGAAUAUUGGUCAAUGGGCGGAAGCCUGAACCAGCCAAGUAGCGUGCAGGAUGACGGCCCUAUGGGUUGUAAACUGCUUUUAUACAGGAAUAAAGUUAGCCACGUGUGGUUAUUUGUAGGUACUGUAUGAAUAAGGACCGGCUAAUUCCGUGCCAGCCGCCGCAGUAA